rnacentral:miRNA from 1 species
UAGGUAGUUUUAUGUUGUUGGGC